AGAAGAAGAAGCACACCUGAAGACAGGUGGAUGAACUCACCUGUUCUUGAUCUUUUCUCUGAGUGUUUUCAAGUUUAUUCAACAGUUAUGAAUUAAUUUGAGAAGAAGAAGUUCAGUUAACACUAAUUCUUCUUUAUCAGGAAAUGAAUGCUGGUUUUAGUGAAUGAUGAUUUAGUUGUGCUCAGUGAAGCUUGUUAGCAUGUUGUCAGUAGUGAUGCUAACUGUGAGUCAGUUAGUUUAGUUCACCUGGUUCGUGACUGAAGAGACGGAGUUCACACCUGAGCUUUGAUUCAUGUGUUCACACACAAAACCAACAUGGAGGAGAUGCCUUCACUGACCCUGGUUGAUGACUGGUGAGUAUUCGCUCCUCUGGCCUGAUCCAGUUCCUCUGCAGCUCCAGAAGUCGACUAAAGACGGAUCUUCAACAUCCCGGCUGCGUUCCAUGAGCACAAUGAAGCACACAACUCCAUUCCCCACCAUGCACACGAGGAAGAUGAGCAGGUAGGACACGAUGAAGAUGGCUGCUAUGGACGGCUGGUGCAGCCGGUGCUUUUUUGUGCUUUUCUCACGAUGACGACGAAGUGUCAGCGCUGCGCCGACCCUCACCUACUUCUACACAAGAUGGUGAUUUUCUUAAGUUCCUCAAACGCCUUUCAUCAGGCGCCGGAGAAGGAGCGCUCCUCGCUGCCGACGCGCAGCUGAAGACGGAGCGAAAAACAAGCAGAGCGAGGUUUGUUUUUUUUCCACUUCAGAGAAAAGUGCAAGCAGAAAGAACAACGCUGUCGCAGUCGACAACAGAUGCUGAGAAAAGAUCACGGCUGAAACUGUCUCUUCUUCUGAUUGAUUUGACUCUGCUUCGUUAUUUAGUGAUGGGGGAGUUUAGACAGAAAUCCUGGCUCUCUGAUUCUGAUGUUUGCUCAGUGAAGGCCUGAAACCAAAACUUUGUUCUGAUCUUUGUCUAUUAA